rnacentral:rRNA from 1 species
UACGGAGGGUGCAAGCGUUAAUCGGAAUUACUGGGCGUAAAGCGUGCGCAGGCGGUUUGUUAAGUCUGUUGUGAAAUCCCCGAGCUCAACUUGGGAAUUGCAAUGGAUACUGGCAGGCUGGAGUACGGUAGAGGAAGGUGGAAUUCCCGGUGUAGCAGUGAAAUGCGUAGAGAUCGGGAGGAACACCAGUGGCGAAGGCGGCCUUCUGGACCAAUACUGACGCUCAUGCACGAAAGCGUGGGGAGCAAACAGG